CCCGGUAACUGGAGGAACGGGAGCCGUUUUGAUGAGGAAAAUGGGCUGGAGAGAAGGAGAAGGAUUAGGAAAAAACAAAGAAGGCAAUAAGGAACCCAUCCUAGUUGAUUUUAAGACAGACCGAAAAGGUCUUGUUGCAGUAGGAGAAAGAGCAAAAAAGAGGUCUGGGAACUUCUCUGCUGCAAUGAAAGAUCUGCCAGGCAAACAUCCUGUGUCUGCUUUGAUGGAAAUCUGAAAUAAGAGAAGGUGGCAACCACCUGAAUUUCUAUUGGUCCAUGAUAGUGGCCCUGAUCAUUGCAAACGUUUUCUCUUUAGGGGAUUGAUAAAUGGAAGUGCUUACCAGCCCAACUUUGCCAGCCUUAAUAAGAAGCAUGCUAAAGACACAGCAGCUACUGUGGUUCUUCAAGCAAUGGGCCUUGUACCAAAGGACCUCAUGGCUAAUGCCACCUGCUUCAGGAGUGCCUCACAUAGAUAGAUUGAG
rnacentral:lncRNA from 1 species